rnacentral:rRNA from 1 species
UACGUAGGGGUCGAGCGUUGUCCGGACUUACUGGGCGUAAAGCGUGGGUAGGUGGUCGGUGAUGUGCCGUGUGAAAGCGCCGCGCUUCUCGCGGCGAGGUCGCGGUAGACACACCGACGUGGAGGCACGGAGGGGGGCGUAGAAUUCCCGGUGUAGUGGUGAAAUGCGUAGAUAUCGGGAGGAAUACCAGUGGCGGCAAGCGGCGCCCUGGCCGUGACCUGACACUGAGCCACGACGGCGUGGGGAGCAAACGGG